rnacentral:rRNA from 1 species
CGUCAAGUCAGUAUGGCCCUUACGUCUAGGGCUGCACACGUGCUACAAUGCCCAAUACAGAAGGUCGCAAUACCGCGAGGUGGAGCAAAUCCUUAAAGUUGGGCCCAGUUCGGAUUGGAGUCUGCAACUCGACUCCAUGAAGUUGGAAUCGCUAGUAAUGGCGCAUCAACUACGGCGCCGUGAAUACGUUCCCAGGCCUU